rnacentral:rRNA from 1 species
AAGUCGAACGAAGCACCUUACCUGAUUCUUCGGAUGAAGGUCUGGUGACUGAGUGGCGGACGGGUGAGUAACGCGUGGGUAACCUGCCCUGUACAGGGGGAUAACAGUUGGAAACGGCUGCUAAUACCGCAUAAGCGCACGAGAGGACAUCCUCUUGUGUGAAAAACUCCGGUGGUACAGGAUGGGCCCGCGUCUGAUUAGCUGGUUGGCAGGGUAACGGCCUACCAAGGCGACGAUCAGUAGCCGGUCUGAGAGGAUGAACGGCCACAUUGGAACUGAGACACGGUCCAAACUCCUACGGGAGGCAGCAGUGGGGAAUAUUGCACAAUGGGGGAAACCCUGAUGCAGCAACGCCGCGUGAGUGAAGAAGUAUUUCGGUAUGUAAAGCUCUAUCAGCAGGGAAGAUAAUGACGGUACCUGACUAAGAAGCUCCGGCUAAAUACGUGCCAGCAGCCGCGGUAAUACGUAUGGAGCAAGCGUUAUCCGGAUUUACUGGGUGUAAAGGGUGCGUAGGUGGCAGUGCAAGUCAGAUGUGAAAGGCCGGGGCUCAACCCCGGAGCUGCAUUUGAAACUGCUCGGCUAGAGUACAGGAGAGGCAGGCGGAAUUCCUAGUGUAGCGGUGAAAUGCGUAGAUAUUAGGAGGAACACCAGUGGCGAA